GGGGAAUAUUGGACAAUGGGCGCAAGCCUGAUCCAGCCAUGCCGCGUGGGUAAAGAAGGCCUUCGGGUUGUAAAGCCCUUUUGUUGGCAAAGAAAAGCAGCCGGCCAAUACCCGGUUGUUCUGACGGUACCCAAAGAAUAAGCACCGGCUAACUACGUGCCAGCAGCCGCGGUAAUACGUAGGGCGCAAGCGUUGUCCGGAAUUAUUGGGCGGAAAGAGCUCGUAGGCGGUUAGUCGCGUCUGCUGUGAAAACUCGAGGCUCAACCUCGGGCUUGCAGUGGGUACGGGCUGACUAGAGUGCGGUAGGGGUGACUGGAAUUCCUGGUGUAGCGGUCGAAUGCGCAGAUAUCAGGAGGAACACCGAUGGCGAAGGCAGGUCACUGGGCCGCAACUGACGCUGAGGAGCGAAAGCAUGGGGAGCGAACA
rnacentral:rRNA from 1 species